rnacentral:rRNA from 1 species
UACAGAGGGGGCUAGCGUUAUUCGGAAUUAUUGGGCGUAAAGGGCGCGUAGGCGGCCAUGCGUGUCUUCCGUGAAAUCCCUCGGCUCAACUGAGGACGUGCGGAAGAAACUGCAAGGCUUGAGUCCGGGAGAGGGGGGUGGAAUUCCCAGUGUAGCGGUGAAAUGCGUAGAUAUUGGGAGGAACACCGGUGGCGAAGGCGGCCCCCUGGACCGGUACUGACGCUGAGGCGCGAAAGCGUGGGUAGCAAACGGG